CACGUAGGGCGCAAGCGUUGUUCGGAUUUACUGGGCGUAAAGAGCGCGCAGGCGGUCGGAUAAGUCGAAUGUGAAAGCCCCCGGCUCAACUGGGGAGGGUCAUUCGAUACUGUUCGACUCGAAGGCAGGUGAGGGAAGUGGAAUUCCCGGUGUAGUGGUGAAAUGCGUAGAUAUCGGGAGGAACACCAGUGGCGAAGGCGACUUCCUGGCCUGUUCUUGACGCUGAGGCGCGAAAGCUAGGGGAGCAAACGGG
rnacentral:rRNA from 1 species